AUGGGCUCAUCAGUGUUACACCCCAAGGAGGAAGUCGGCUUGGGAGAGAACACCAAGGGUGUGGCCAAGUGUUGGACAACGAGAUUAGAGAUUUAGUAUGAAGGUGACCGCAGCCCGAGAGCCGGGAGUAGAGAUGGGAGAUGGGCCGUGGAAACACUACCAGCUGCAAUGGAAGGAAACAGAGAACAGGAGGACAAAGGGGUUCCUCUGCAGACUUUGCCCCAGGGACUGCUUCGUGUUUUUGAAAGUUGAGGGCCUCCACGGAUUGUUCAGUUCCAAGCCAGCUCACAGCCAGCCUCCUCCGACUCCAUUUGCCAUGUAGGUCUUCCUGCCAGCCUCGGCCUCCAGUGGCAGCAUCUGCUCCCCGUUUGGUAGGACUCCCUGUAUCCCCUUGUCCCUGGUUUAGCUGUUGUUGUCUGUCUGUCUGUCUGUCUGUUCAUGUUUGCAUAGCACUUUGCCUUCUAGCCACUGGUGGAUCUAACAAGAUUUGUUGUUUUCCAACAACAAAUGUUUUUUGAAUGUUUUUCUUGUUGUGAGAAUGACAGUGAUGUCUCCAAGCUCACGCUGGAGCCGGACAGUUCCACUCCCUGAAGUACUAAGGUAAACC
rnacentral:lncRNA from 1 species